AGCGGAGGAAAGAACCAACCGGGAUUGCCUUAGUAACGGCGAGUGAAGCGGCAAAAGCUCAAAUUUGAAAUCUGGCGUCUUCGACGUCCGAGUUGUAAUUUGAAGAAGGCGACUUUGUAGCUGGUCCUUGUCUAUGUUCCUUGGAACAGGACGUCAUAGAGGGUGAGAAUCCCGUGUGGCGAGGAUCCCAGUUAUUUGUAAAGUGCUUUCGACGAGUCGAGUUGUUUGGGAAUGCAGCUCUAAGUGGGUGGUAAAUUCCAUCUAAAGCUAAAUAUUGGCGAGAGACCGAUAGCGAACAAGUACAGUGAUGGAAAGAUGAAAAGAACUUUGAAAAGAGAGUGAAAAAGUACGUGAAAUUGUUGAAAGGGAAGGGCAUUUGAUCAGACAUGGCGUUUGCUUCGGCUUUCGCUGGGCCAGCAUCAGUUUUAGCGGUUGGAUAAAUCCUCGGGAAUGUGGCUCUGCUUCGGUAGAGUGUUAUAGCCCGUGGGAAUACAGCCAGCUGGGACUGAGGAUUGCGACUUUUGUCAAGGAUGCUGGCGUAAUGGUUAAAUGCCGCCCGUCUUGAAACACGGACCUCCUGUGUGAAGGGGAUCCGCUA
rnacentral:rRNA from 1 species